UACGUAGGGGGGCAAGCGUUGUCCGGAUUUAUUGGGCGUAAAGAGCGUGUAGGCGGCCAUUCAGGUCAGCUGUGAAAACUCGAGGCUCAACCUCGAGACGUCGGUUGAAACCGUUUGGCUAGAGUCCGGAAGAGGAGAGUGGAAUUCCCGGUGUAGCGGUGAAGUGCGCAGAUAUCGGGAAGAACACCCGUGGCGAAGGCGGCUCUCUGGGACGGUACUGACGCUGAGACGCGAAAGCGUGGGGAGCGAACAGG
rnacentral:rRNA from 1 species